UACGGAGGGUGCGAGCGUUGUCCGGAAUCACUGGGCGUAAAGGGCGCGUAGGUGGCGCGACAAGUCAACGGUGAAAGCCCGGGGCUCAACCCCGGGUCGGCCGUCGAUACUGUUGGGCUUGAGCACUGUAGAGGCAGAUGGAAUUCCGGGUGUAGCGGUGGAAUGCGUAGAGAUCCGGAGGAACACCAGGGGCGAAUGCGGCCGACUGGCCGAGUGCUGACGCUGAGGCGCGACGGCGUGGGGAGCAAACCGG
rnacentral:rRNA from 1 species